rnacentral:lncRNA from 1 species
CUCUGUCGCAAGUAUCAGCACUUGGAGAACUCCCAAUUCACAUCUCAAGCACCAUCUAUUUCUUCAAUUUCUCUGAACAUCAAGUUAUUCAUGCUAUGAAAGACGGAGGCAAGGAUUGAGAUGAAAAAGAAUGAUCGGAGUUGGGAAGAUGAAGCUGUACUCUAACGUCCUCUACAUGCCUCUCAGCAAAGGAAAACAAUAGGUCAGUUUGAGUGCAUUUGAGUUCUUGUUUUUGGAGCUUGUGUAGUACAAUCAGACAUAGGUUGACAACAUCGUUGAGCUAGAAUGAAGGUAUGACAUCAAUGAAAGCAUAAAUGAGAUGGAGAAGCAAGCUUUGAUGACGGGUUUAGUAUUUCACCCUCAUAGGGAUCGUAAGAUCGGAUUAGGAAUCAAAGAUAUAAAGGCUAUGCUAUUGGGGCUCAGGUCUGGAGCUUUUUGGUGCAUGUAAAUUAGGUAGCUGACUCACUUGAGAAAGACACUGAACAUGAGGACGAGUACAUGAUUAGUGAGAAGGAACUAAUGCAAGAUACUACGAAUGGAAGCAAGGUUGGGUUGAUGUUACGACCACGAUUGGAUCGGGAUCUCAUAAUGCAACCUCCUUCACAUGUCAUCACUUUGUUGCUGGAUGAUUUGUGUUAAACUUGAAGUUUUAGGAGCAUGUACCUAGUUUCUAAUUUGUUUCCUUGUUUUGCUGGGCAUUUUGGCCCCUAUUGAACCAAAAAAUGUUACUCUAGUUGGAUUGUAAAGUAAUGUUCUGAACUUCAUUAUGUAUUAUUAAAAACUUAUGAGAAUGCAUAUUCUUGCCUUAUGAGAAUGCAUACUCUUUUCCUAUUCAAGCUUCAUAAGUUUAAUAUA